AUCCACCUCAGCAGAAGAGAAGUCUAAUAAUUGAGAUAGAGGAAGAACUCAAGAAUAUUACAAAAGCGAUCCACCUCAACAGGAGAGAAGUCAAAAAAUCGGCAUAAAGAAAAAAUUCAAGAUUAUAGCAUAAGAUGAUGCACCUCAACGGGAGAGAAGUCAAAAAAUACAGAAAAACAAAGAACUCGAGAAUAUUACGCAAGGUUAGUAUGAUUUUCUUGGAAAUCAAUUAUUUUCCACAAGUGUUUUAUGUGUUCGCGUGGUUACCAAAGGCAAUUUAAUUUUAUGGAUUUAAGUGAUAUUUUUUU